AUUGAACGCUGGCGGCAUGCCUUACACAUGCAAGUCGAACGGUAACGCGGGGCAACCUGGCGACGAGUGGCGAACGGGUGAGUAAUGCAUCGGAACGUGCCCAACAGUGGGGGAUAGCCCGGCGAAAGCCGGAUUAAUACCGCAUACGACCUGAGGGUGAAAGCGGGGGAUCGCAAGACCUCGCGCUGAUGGAGCGGCCGAUGUCAGAUUAGGUAGUUGGUGGGGUAAAGGCCUACCAAGCCGACGAUCUGGAGCUGGUCUGAGAGGACGACCAGCCACACUGGGACUGAGACACGGCCCAGACUACUACGGGAGGCAGCAGUGGGGAAUUUUGGACAAUGGGGGAAACCCUGAUCCAGCCAGGCCGCGUGCGGGAAGAAGGCCUUCGGGUUGUAAACCGCUUUUGUCGGGGAAGAAAUCCUUCGAGCUAAUACCUUGAGGGGAUGACGGUACCCGAAGAAUAAGCACCGGCUAACUACGUGCCAGCCGCCGCCGUAAGAC
rnacentral:rRNA from 1 species